UAACUGCGCGCAAUCGUGUGAACUGCAGGACACAUGAACACCGACGUUUUGAACGCAUAUGGCGGUCUGAAGGAAAUUUUCAGACCACGUCUGGCUGAGGGUCGGAUUUGAAAUCAAACAAACAAGCAUCGCCGGGUUGAAAAGCUCGGUUAGAAAAAUGUAAAUGCUUUUGUUGCGCUAUUGCUCAACUUGGUCUGAUGUUAAAACAAAAAAUGUGACCAUAAGCGAGCUGAUAGUCGGCAACUAAAUUCAUAUAUACGACCUCAGAGUAGACGAGAUUACCCGCUUAAUUUAA
rnacentral:misc_RNA from 1 species